UAGGGAAUAUUGCACAAUGGGGGAAACCCUGAUGCAGCGACGCCGCGUGAGUGAUGAAGGCCUUCGGGUCGUAAAGCUCUGUCGUAUGGGACUAACAAAAUGAAGGUACCAUGCAAGAAAGGAUCGGCUAACUUCGUGCCAGCAGCCGCGGUAAGACGAGGGAUCCUAGCGUUGUUCGGAAUUAUUGGGCGUAAAGCGGGUGUAGGCGGACUUAUAAGUCAGGUGUGAAAUCCCAGGGCUCAACCCUGGAAGUGCACUUGAUACUGCAAGUCUUGAGUGUGGUAGAGGCUAUUAGAAUUCCUGGUGUAGUGGUGAAAUACGUAGAUAUCAGGAGGAAUACCGGAGGCGAAGGCGGAUAGCUGGGCCAACACUGACGCUGAGACCCGAAAGCGUGGGGAGUCAAACAGGAUUAGAUACCCCAGUAGUCCCUGAGCGGGCUGGCAAGGCGCAU
rnacentral:rRNA from 1 species